AGUGCCAUCCAUUCAGUGGCAACGCCACAGCUCCCUGCGAUCGCGGCAGCGGGUAUAUGUUACGGGGGCCCUGUGCGCGGGCCAGACAGUGCGGUAAAGCUAAGGGAGAUUAUCCAGACCCCCAGGAGCAAGCGGCAGGCAGCAACAGAGGCGCAAGUGCCAGGAUUACAGACCAGGCUCCUCCGCUGCAAGCCCUUCCUUGGACGCACACCACCGUGGGGAUAGGGGCUCCCCUGCCAGCGCUGCUCAACUCGGACCUUCAGCACUUUUUCCCCCCUUUAAACGUCACUCUGCCGCAGUGGAGCCAGCACAACGGAUGCUUUCACACCCUGUGAGACAAAGGCCGUCGUCUCCGCCAUGACACCGCUCCGUUCCAAGCCGAGGCUGGCAUCUUGGAGUCUUUAAAAAUAAAGGGAAAAGGGAAAUGCGAACAAUAAAAACAGCAACAGAAAAAACCUCAACAACAAGCCCCUUGUGCCCAUUCUCCAUGCCAGGGGCAACAUGGGCAUCUGGCGCAGCAGAAGGCGUUUUGUGGGGCUGGCUUUUUUUCCUUUCUCUUGUUUUUCCGCAAGCUGUUGGCGCAUUUGCCAUUCGGGUUCGUUUGCAAUUAACUCCAAAAAACCCCCACCACACCCAGCCCAGUCAACAACAAACAAAAGGGAGUAGCUGAUAUCGAGGGAAAUGCCAUGAGAUGCUGCAAGAAUGUGAGCUACAGAUGAUGCCAUUUGCCAUUUGGACAACCUCAGGGAAAGAUGCCAAUUCUGCAGCUUGGGAGAGACUCCGAGAAGGGAGCAUGAAGGUCUCCGAGUAGUACACCGAAGGAAGGAAGGCAGGAAGGAAGGAAGGAAGGAAGAAAGAAGGAAGGAAGGAAGGAAUACUGCUCUUAUAGGGCAGGAUCACAGCUGCAUACAGCCUCUGCUGGGAGGAGAGGGAAUGUUUAUCGGUGUAGCGAGAGAUGCCUGUAUGCACAUAGCACACAGAGCGGUGUGUGGAUGGACACACAUACACAUACGCACACAAUGCCUCCGAUAACUGCAGAUGAGGUGUGUGAGGGUGGGGGUGUGCAUGACGGAGAUGUGCGUAUACCUCUGUGUGUACACACAUGCCUCUGAGUGUGGAUAUAUAUUUGUGUGCACGCAUGUAAUACACAAACAUGCAGGGAGAUGCAUGUUUGUGUGCUUGGGUGAGAGAGAAAGGGUGAGAAAGACACAGACACACACACACACUCACCCAACGUCAGUAUACAUCCCACUUUUUGACCUAGGUAUACACUGAAGACAAAAUAAAAAUCAUACUCCAGCAGCAAGCAGGCAGUCAGAGAUUUAUCUACAUUCACUGCUAUCACCAGGGAGAUGAAUGGGGCCGAUCUGAAGCCCUUUACAAGAUCCACUAUGGGAGUGAAGGAGGAGGAGGGAUGCCACACAGACAUGCACAAACUUGAAGACAGAGAGAUUUGGAAGGUGCUACUUGUGAAGCCCAGGUGGCACUCUGGAGGGGCGAGCGAGGGAUGGAGCCGCAGAGGCGCUCCGCAGGGUCCGGAGGGCUUGGGGCUCUUGGAAGAGGGCGUCAAGGGACCGCUGGCUACUUACGUUGUCUGCACUGCUGAGGAUCCUGCAAGGUGUUCUGUUGGCACCGGGCGCUGAGCCAGGGAAGGGCACUGGAAACAAAAGGGAGAGACAAAAAAUAAAGUCAUACAGCGGGAAUAUUAAUUGCCUCUCUUGCGGAUUUUACAAAACACACAAAAUGUUUUCUUUUUGCUUGGUGGUUUUUCGUGGAUUGGCGCGCUUCCCUUCUGCAUGGAAAAUACUAGCGUGGGAUUUACAGCCCAGCUACAGGGCUCGGGAUUAACAGCGCUGGCAUCUUUUGGGCAUAUUUUUUCUUUUAAUGAAUCAGCUUUCGCUGUUAAUGAGGAAUAAUCGUUUGGCUAAUGAGCUUUGAAACAUUAAGAGAAAAGAGGUUUUUUUUCCCGUUAAUCGCCCUGGUGCGACCGCAUGGAUGGAUUACAAAAGACAGCAGUAGGAACGCAGUACAAAGGGGGGGAAACGUCUCCUGGAGUGGGAUAAAUGCAGAGAUGGGUGAUGCGUCCCUGCAUCUCUCCUUCCUUCUCUCUCCCUUACUCUCUCUGCCAACUGCUAUGGGUUUCCAUAACUCCGCAAUCAAAGCGGAUGCUCGGGAAAGAUUAUUAUAGUCAAACAGUGAAGCGUCGGCUGUUAAUGUCUCCAGUGUUUAAUCAUCAUACAGUAGAAUGGUUUUAUGCAUAUUUCAUUUGCAUAUCAUUAAGCCGCGCUAGCGCGGGACGUUCAGAGCUGGAGAGGUACAAAGUUGGGGGGGAGAGAGAGGGAGAGCGGGAACGAGACACAGGGAGGAAGGUCCCUGUGAUGCCUAUCUUCAAAAGCCAGGGACUUGUUCCAUGAUCUGUCUUCUACUUUUACUAAAAUCAUGAUGACUUGGAAACCUUUGAAGUUGGAUAUAACCUUGGAUUCUUCUAAUUCCAGCAGAGUGAUGUAUUAGAAAGGGGGAAAUGAUGCUGCGCUAGACAUUUAAAGGAAUAUAAGCUCCAGUGGAAUGGAAAUAGGAGCUCUUUGGGGAACGAACUGGCAGCACCAGCCACAGCUUCGACAAACACCACACUUCUGGGUUAAUGCUAGUAAAGGAUACCAGAGUAAUACAAAAGAAAUGAAGACAACACAUACAUUAGGAUGGGGAUUGUAUUUCUCUACUCUUUCUCUUUUCCUUUUAAAGGUACAAAGAAGGAUGGAACCAGCGGUAAUUUACACGCUAAUUAGCGAACAGUUGCCUCUUUUUGUGUUUGUUUUUCUUCUCUCUUUAUUUUGGAGAGGGGUGUUGUCACUGCUGAGGUGAUUAAUCAAUUAUUUGGUAGCUCAGAUCCUUCUCCACUGGCACUGAUCAGGAAGAGAAGGUGGUGGUUGCGGGGGGAGAAACACAGUGGGCUCUUUGUAGAUCUUAUACAUGCACAACAUAUUAAUUGGGGUCUUUAUAAAGCUCCCUCAAUAGACUGUUUCUUUCCUGGAGAAACAGCAGCUGGUUAGCCACCGUUGGCGACUCUUCAAACACCACUUUUGCUGGGGGCAGUUCUGUUGCUGUUUGUUGUUGUGCUUUAUUUUCUUUCUCCAUGGUGGGGGCUACACGUGCGAUGCAAUCAGUGCCCACCGCUUCCACAUAGCAGACAGACAGGAUCGGUACCAAGACAUUCUCCUGAGCCGAACGUGGAACUUUGCUUCAAAAUGAAAUGCUGGUUUAUAUUUAAAUCCUCCUCCCUUUCCCCCCACCCCCCGACUUUUCUUCUCCUCCAAGUCUUUGUCUUGGUUAUGAAUAUUCAGAUGAGCCGUGA
rnacentral:lncRNA from 1 species